UCCUCCGUGGCGCAAUUGGCUAGCGCGGUAAGCAUCCACGACUACUAGAUCUUCAGAGAGUCCUAAUUCAAAAUAGUUCGACUGUUACACAGCAGAUCAUCGAGAGGUUGGUGGUUCGAGCCCACCCGGGGGAG